rnacentral:tRNA from 1 species
GGGGAUUUAGCUCAGUGGCAUAAGCACCUGCCUGGCAAGCAUGAGGUCCUGAGUUCAAUCCCCA